rnacentral:rRNA from 1 species
UACGUAGGGGGCUAGCGUUGUCCGGAUUUAUUGGGCGUAAAGAGCGUGUAGGCGGCCAGGUAGGUCUGGUGUGAAAACUCGAGGCUUAACCUCGAGAUGUCAUCGGAAACCAUCUGGCUAGAGUCCGGAAGAGGAAAGUGGAAUUCCUGGUGUAGCGGUGAAAUGCGCAGAUAUCGGAAGGAACAUCAGUGGCGAAAGCGACUUCCUGGACCAGUACCGACGUUCAGGCACGAAAGCGUGGGGAGCAAACAGG